UACGUAGGGUGCGAGCGUUGCCCGGAUUUAUUGGGCGUAAAGGGCGCGUAGGCGGUCGCGCACGUCCGUUGUGAAAUCGCUCGGCUCAACUGGGCGGGGUCAGCGGAUACGGCGUGGCUGGAGCAAGCUAGGGGGCAAUGGAAUUCCCGGUGUAGUGGUGGAAUGCGUAGAUAUCGGGAGGAACACCAGUGGCGAAGGCGGUUGCCUGGAGCUUUGCUGACGCUGAUGCGCGAAAGCGUGGGGAGCGAUCCGG
rnacentral:rRNA from 1 species